rnacentral:lncRNA from 1 species
UUCUCUUAUCUGUAUUUUGUUUCAUGUGGUUUUAUGACUCUUUGAGUCUGUCUCUUAAGAUUUGUAACAUUUUAUUCUUUUCUUUGUUCCAAUCUUCUACUGUACUUUGCUGGCUCAUAUUCAGAUUGACCAUCAGAUACAUAGGAGGUGGAUGACCAUAUAAGGCUGGAUAAGGUGUCAUCUCUAAAGAGGAGUGGUAGUUGGUGUUGUACCACCACUCAGUCAGAGAUAAUCAUUUAAGCCAUCUAUGGGG